rnacentral:lncRNA from 1 species
GGAAUUGCUCUUCGGUCUUAGGACUUCAACUUCUAUUAAGGGUUUUUCUUGAGUUUAUUUUAAAAAUUUGGAGAAACACCCUCGCCAAGAGGCGCACUCUGGACAGUUUCCAAACUUAGAGCUGGAAUGCCCAAAGGGCUGAGUUGACUGUUUUACUCGACUUUGACCAAGAUUUUGAGCAGGUUCGGUUAUGAUUUGGACCUAGGUUAGUGUAACAAAGUUGGAACACACUCAAGGGAAUACAACUGUUAUUAAAGGUAUGACCUGAGUUUAGAUAAGAACUUGUGAGAUAACAGGUUGCAAAGUCGAAGAAAAACUUGAAUUCCAGGACUUAGGUUGUUUGUAGGUUCUAUAAUACUCCUGUUUUGAUUCUUAUUUUUGACCUUCUCCCACUCCGAAUUAGCCAAAGUGUCUUUAACAAAAGUUGUUUGGAAUUAAAAGUUUUACAACUUUUAUUCGGGCAAAAAUUUAAGUUUGCAUAUAAAAUCUCAAGUUUUAUAUUUAACUCCAAAAAGGGCUUCUUAGGGUCAAAAAGGACAUUUCACCUCUUUUGAUUAGUGACUAAUGACUUGUUUAUCUUUAAUUACAUCUAAUUAAGGCAGAGUUGUUACACUUAUCCUCUCAAAGAACCAAUAGUCCUUCUUCUAGUUCUAUUUAAUCUUCACAAAAGCUUUGCAUUCACACCUCAUUGACAUUUUCUCACGUACCCUCUCCUCACCAGGCUUGUAGUAAUCCCAGUGUCCUUGUUUGUUGCACGACAACUCUAGUGCAAUCUUUCUACUAGUCUUGGUUAUGUGCACAUCAAACCCUGCUUUGCCCGCAUAGAAUUUGUAAAAUUCUUAGGCUUCAUCGCUGCUCUAAAAAGUAGCUCCUCAUUUGGCACAAUUGUGUCCAGCAACAUGGGAUCCUAGAAAACGAAACACCCAUUUCAGAAGGUAGUACCACAAGACUCGAAACAAAAAAC